CAAGGAAUCUUCGGCACUGGGCGCAAGCCUGACCGAGCAACGCCGCGUGGAGGACGACGGCCUUCGGGUUGUAAACUCCUUUCGGGGGGGACGAAACGGACGGUACCCUCAGAAGCAGCCCCGGCUAACUCUGUGCCAGCAGCCGCGGUAAGACAGAGGGGGCAAGCGUUGUCCGGAUUUACUGGGCGUACAGCGCGCGUAGGCGGCCGGUGACGUGCCGUGUGACAGGCGGGGGCUCAACCCCCGACGGCCAUGGUAGACGCACCAGCUAGAGGCAGGGAGAGGGAUGUGGAAUACCCGGUGGAGCGGUGAAAUGCGUAGAGAUCGGGUGGAACACCAGGGGCGCAGGCGGCAUCCUGGCCCUGUACUGACGCUGAGGCGCGAGAGCGUGGGGAGCGAACUGG
rnacentral:rRNA from 1 species